rnacentral:rRNA from 1 species
AGCAGCAGCCACGGGAAUACGGAGGGAGCUAGCGUUGUUCGGAAUUACUGGGCGUAAAGCGCACGUAGGCGGAUUGUUUAGUUAGGCGUGAAAUUCCUGGGCUUAACCUGGGGACUGCGCUUAAUACAGGCAGUCUAGAGUGAGGAAGAGGGUUGUGGAAUUCCCAGUGUAGAGGUGAAAUUCGUAGAUAUUGGGAAGAGCACCGGUGGCGAAGGCGGCUCACUGGACCGACACUGACGCUGAGGCGCGAAAGCGUGGGGAGCAAACAGGAUUAGAGCCCCGGUAGUCCCUGUCUCUUAUACA